GUACCAUCUUGCAUUCCCACCAGCAAUAUAUGAGAGUUCAUGUUCUGCACCCUCAGUAGCACUUGAUAUUGUCAGAUUAAAAAAAAAAUUCAGACAUUUUAAUAGGCAUGAUGUGAUAGCCGAUCAUGGUUUUAAUCUACAUUAUCCUACUGGUAAAUGAUGCUGAGCAUUUUCUCGUGUGCUUAUUUCUCAUCCUUAUCUCCCCUUGGAUAAAGUGUCUGCUUAAUUCUUUCAUCUGUGUUUUAAACUGUGUUGUUUUCUUGAUAUGGUUUACCUGUGUUCCCACCCAGAUCUCAUCUUGAAUUGUAAUCCCCGUAAUCCCCAUGUGUCAAGGAAGAGACCCUGUGGGAGGUGAUUAGGUCAUGGGGGUGGUUUCCCCCAUGUUGUUCUCAUGAUCCUGAGUGAAUUUUCAUGAGAUCUGCUCGUUUUAUAAAUGGUAAUUUUUCCUGUGUUCUCCCAGGCUUGCCCUCUCUCACCUGCUGCCAUGUAAGAUGUGCCUGCUUCACCUUCCGCCAUGAUUGUCAGUUUCCUGAGGCCUCCCCAGCCAUGUGGAACUCUCUGUCUUUUCCAGAAUAUCAUAUAAAUGGAAUCACACGAUAGGCAGCCUUUUGAGUCUGGCUUCUUUGACUGAACAGAAUGCAUUCAAGGAUGUGAGAAGAAGAAAGGAGGGGGGAGAGGAGGAGAAAAGGACGUGCAUCAUCUGAAAAUGAAGGGUGUUCUUUAAAGCAGCAAAGUUAGCUCAACAAAACUUAUUGUGCUUUAUCAUGGGGAACUGACAUAGCAGAAAGUGGAACCAACGGUAAGGGGGGACUACUGUAACUAUGGAGGAAUAAGGACAAGAAUUACAGCAGACGUCUCAACAGAAACCAUGCAAGCCAGAGACAACGGAGUGAGAUUUUUAAAGUGUUGAAAGAAAAAAACUGUCAAAACAGAUUUCUACAUCCAGGAGAAAUAUCUUUCAAAUGUGAAAAACAAAUAAAUACUUUUGUGUACCAACAUAAACUGAGGAAGUUCAGUAAUAUUUCCUACUUUACUGGAAAUAUUAAAGGUAGUUCUUCAAACAAAGAAUUUGUUUGGAACUUAGAUCUGCAUACAGGACAUAAAUGAAGGGAAAUAUGCUUUAUCAUAUUUCUCGCUGUAAAAUAUACUUUAUCAUAUUUUCUUGCUAUAACAAGUAACUUGACUGUUUAAAGUAAUAAUAACCAUAUAUUAUAUGGUUAUGGUGUAUGUAAGAGUAAGAUGAGUUACAAUGAUAGUGCAAAAGAUGAGAAGAAAGAAUUGGGAAACACUGUUGUAAGAUCUUACAUUACAUGUGUGGCAACACUGUUAUUUGAAGGUGGACUUAGAUUAUUUAAAAUUGUAUAUUAUAAAACCUAGGGCAAUCACUACAAGUGUUAACAACACAAAAUGUGUAAAAAUCAAUUGACUAUAUUUAUGUAGGUCUAGUUCGGGGCUUUCUCUUCUAUUUCAUUGAUCUAUGUGUCUAUCCUUUUGCUACUGUCUUUAUUACUAUAUCUUUAUAAUAAUCCCAGCACUUUGGGAGACCAAGGUGGGCAGAUCAUGAGGUCAAGAGAUCGAGACCAUCCUGGCCAACAUGGUGAAACCCCAUCCCUACUAAAAAUACAAAAAUUAGCUGGGCAUGGUGGCACAUGCCUGUAGUCCCAGCUAUUCAGGAGGCUGAGGCAGGAGAAUUGCUUGAACCCAGGAGGUGGAGGUUGCAGUGAGCCAAGAUCACACCACUGCUCUCCAGCCUGGCAAUAGAGUGAGACUUUGUCUCAAAAAAAUAAAAAUAAAAAUAAAAAAUAAAAAAUAAAAAAAUUUUAAAUAAAAG
rnacentral:lncRNA from 1 species